rnacentral:rRNA from 1 species
UACGUAGGGACCGAGCGUUGUCCGGAUUCAUUGGGCGUAAAGAGCUCGUAGGCGGCUUGUUGCGUCGACUGUGAAAACCCGCGGCUUAACCGCGGGCUUGCAGUUGAUACGGGCAGGCUAGAGUUCGGUAGGGGAGACUGGAAUUCCUGGUGUAGCGGUGAAAUGCGCAGAUAUCAGGAGGAACACCGGUGGCGAAGGCGGGUCUCUGGGCCGAUACUGACGCUGAGGAGCGAAAGCGUGGGGAGCGAACAGG